rnacentral:lncRNA from 10 species
UAGAUGGCAGGGCAAAGAUGGAGAUGUGAUUCCCAGGCCUUAGCAGCCAAGAAUGGAAGAGGCCGGACCCCGGUUCAGGGUUUGAUACAUGCCAUAGACGUUCUGGAGAGGGGAAGCACCAGCCGGAUGAAUCAAUCCUGCCCUGCCUGUUCUGAGGCCCAGACAAGGAGGCGGUGAAAAGACCCUGUCUUCUGCGAAGGGCUCUGCAUUCAUUCCCCUACUGCUGUUAGAGCUGUUCUGCCCCUGGGGAGGAGCGCAGACCUUGAAGUAGAAGGUUAUUCUUCUCAACUAAGUCCCGGCUCCAGGAGGGAAGGAGGUGGAAACCUACUCGGGACUCUAGAGAGCAAACCCCCUCAGAAGCAGCCCAGGUUUGACAGGUUUGGGAGGCCUGGCUGAGGAAAGCCCGAGGCCCAGGCUUCCCGGACCCCCUCUGAGAAGGCUCUGGAUGUGGGGGUUUGGAGCCCCUGUCUGCUCCCUGAGAUGUGGCAGGGCCCCUGGCAGGAGCCGUGGCAAACACUGGAGACAAUCUGGCUGCUCAUAAUAGGCGAUGGAUAAAAACAUGAUGGUGAAGUCUGAUGGGACCAUGGAGCCUCAGCUCAUAGGUGAUGCCAUCUCCUGCCACCUCCCUCCCUCCCUCUAGGGGAAAUAGUUCUUGGUCAUCCUGCAUUUGAGUGUUGUGGGGCCCCCACUCAACCUCAGCCCAGUGAUUAUUGCCACGCUUUAUCUCUGGUGGGGGCCUGGAUCAGGCAUGGACAUUCUGGAGUCCCAGUGCCCAGGAAAGAAGACGGGAGGCAGUAGCAGAGCCUGGGAGAGAUGGCCUGAGGAUGUUGUGAUGGAAGACUGUAUAUGAUCAUAUGCACUGCUGUCCAGUCUGCAGAGCCAUGUGGGGGCAAGAAGCAGAGGCAAGGAGCUGCCUGCAUGUGGGCUCUGCUUCUCUAUCCCUCACUCCGUCUCCUCCGCUGCAAAAAGAGGACAGCAAUAGC